AUUGAACGCUGGCGGCAGGCCUAACACAUGCAAGUCGAACGGUAACAGGAAGAAGCUUGCUUCUUUGCUGACGAGUGGCGGACGGGUGAGUAAUGUCUGGGAAACUGCCUGAUGGAGGGGGAUAACUACUGGAAACGGUAGCUAAUACCGCAUAACGUCGCAAGACCAAAAAGGGGGACUUUCGGGCCUCUUGCCAUCGGAUGUGCCCAGAUGGGAUUAGCUAGUAGGUGGGGUAACGGCUCACCUAGGCGACGAUCCCUAGCUGGUCUGAGAGGAUGACCAGCCACACUGGAACUGAGACACGGUCCAGACUCCUACGGGAGGCAGCAGUGGGGAAUAUUGCACAAUGGGCGCAAGCCUGAUGCAGCCAUGCCGCGUGUAUGAAGAAGGCCUUCGGGUUGUAAAGUACUUUCAGCGGGGAGGAAGGGAGUAAAGUUAAUACCUUUGCUCAUUGACGUUACCCGCAGAAGAAGCACCGGCUAACUCCGUG
rnacentral:rRNA from 1 species